UACAGACGGUCCAAACGUUUAUUCGGAAUCACUGGGCUUAAAGAGUUCGUAGGCGGUCAGGAAAGUGGGGUGUGAAAGCCCUCGGCUCAACCGAGGAACUGCGCUCCAAACUCCCCUGACUUUGAGGAGGCUAGAGGUAAGCGGAACUGAUGGUGGAGCGGUGAAAUGCGUUGAUAUCAUCAGGAACACCGGAGGCGAAGGCGGGCUUACUGGGGCCUUUCUGACGCUGAGGAACGAAAGCUAGGGGAGCGAACGGG
rnacentral:rRNA from 1 species